GGUUUAAUUCGAUGAUACGCGAGGAACCGUUACCCGGGCUUGAAUUGCAGAGGAAGGAUUUGGUGACAAUGACGCCCUUCGGGGCCUCUGUGAAGGUGCUGCAUGGUUGUCGUCAGCUCGUGCCGUGAGGUGUCGGCUUAAGUGCCAUAACGAGCGCAACCCCUCUCCUUAGUUGCCAUCAGGUCAAGCUGGGCACUCUGGGGACACUGCCACCGUAAGGUGUGA
rnacentral:rRNA from 1 species